AUCAUAACUCUUGAUCUAACCAUUCAAUUUGUCUCAAAUUUACAUAAUAGGUAGAAUUCACCCUUAAAUUUUAUUAAAAAAAAACCUACCUCAAAUUCACUUCCAAACUUCUAGCAUCUAAGAAACUCUAGAAAAUGCUCUAAACCCUAAUUUACAAGCAUCCAAACACUAUUUUCUUAAUAUCUCAAGAAUCCAAUACUCAAAUGUCAUAAAAAUUAUGCACAAAGUUUAUUAACAUAA
rnacentral:lncRNA from 1 species